rnacentral:ncRNA from 1 species
AUAAAAGCAAUGAAGGUGCAUAGUAGAUUAUAGUACUUUGACCAGAGAGAGAUUGUCAUCGGCUGAAAGCAGUCUUGCAAAAAGGCUAUUGAUUGAAGUUCACACUGAAGCUGCAUGGAUGAAGCACAGUAGUUCAUGACGUGUUAUGUACGUUACACAUAUCAAUGAGAGUCCAUUGGAUAUUUCUUCAAUGGAAAUCAGGGUGGUAUCGCGGAAUUUUCGUCCCUGCA